UAACGCGUAUGCAACCUACCUUUCACAGGGGGAUAGCCCGGGGAAACCCGGAUUAAUACCCCAUGGUAUAUAUUGAUUGCAUGAUUGAUAUAUUAAAGAUUUAUCGGUGAAAGACGGGCAUGCGUAGGAUUAGCUAGUUGGUGGGGUAACGGCCCACCAAGGCAACGAUCCUUAGGGGUUCUGAGAGGAAGGUCCCCCACACUGGCACUGAGAUACGGGCCAGACUCCUACGGGAGGCAGCAGUAGGGAAUAUUGGUCAAUGGGCGAGAGCCUGAACCAGCCAUGCCGCGUGCAGGAAGACGGCCUAUUGGGUUGUAAACUGCUUUUAUACGGGAAGAAAAUGCCCCUGCGGGGGAAAUUGCCGGUACCGUAUGAAUAAGCACCGGCUAACUCCGUGCCAGCAGCCGCGGUAAUACGGAGGGUGCGAGCGUUGUCCGGAUUUAUUGGGUUUAAAGGGUGCGUAGGCGGCCUGUUAAGUCAGCGGUGAAAGUUUCCGGCUCAACCGGGAGACUGCCGUUGAUACUGUCAGGCUUGAGUAAUGGAGGGGUACAUGGAAUUUAUGGUGUAGCGGUGAAAUGCAUAGAUACCAUAAGGAACACCGAUAGCGAAGGCAUUGUACC
rnacentral:rRNA from 1 species